GAUGAACGCUGGCGGCGUGCCUAAUACAUGCAAGUCGAGCGAAUGGACGAGAAGCUUGCUCCUCUGAUGUUAGCGGCGGACGGGUGAGUAACACGUGGAUAACCUACCUAUAAGACUGGGAUAACUUCGGGAAACCGGAGCUAAUACCGGAUAAUAUUUUGAACCGCAUGGUUCAAAAGUGAAAGACGGUCUUGCUGUCACUUAUAGAUGGAUCCGCGCUGCAUUAGCUAGUUGGUAAGGUAACGGCUUACCAAGGCAACGAUGCAUAGCCGACCUGAGAGGGUGAUCGGCCACACUGGAACUGAGACACGGUCCAGACUCCUACGGGAGGCAGCAGUAGGGAAUCUUCCGCAAUGGGCGAAAGCCUGACGGAGCAACGCCGCGUGAGUGAUGAAGGUCUUCGGAUCGUAAAACUCUGUUAUUAGGGAAGAACAUAUGUGUAAGUAACUGUGCACAUCUUGACGGUACCUAAUCAGAAAGCCACGGCUAACUACGUG
rnacentral:rRNA from 1 species